GCUAAUGGACAAAUGUUUGUAGCUGGGAACAAAUGUGCACCACACUAGCCUUUACAAGUGUAUAAAGCAUAUCUAGCUGACUGGCAGUCUUUUAACUCCAUUUAGAGGAGUCUAAGGGUGAAACAACACUGGGUUUGUAUUGACUGUGGGGGUGAAGUCUGGCCAUCUGGGUGCUGAUGACCUUCCAACAAUUCUUGCCAGCAAUUCUUGCACCAUGGCUAGAAGAAGCAAGUUCCCCUACAAUUCUCUGGAAGAAAAUUGUCAAGUGCCUCCACCUAUUGCAGUGGGACUAUUCCCAAAUUCUUGCUACCUCACACCUGUGAGUGCUGCAUUAGCAUGGACUCAGGACCGGUUGUUCAGCUUGAUGAAUCUCGAAUGUCUCUUCUGCACCGUGGGUCCCCCUCCAGCUGAAGGGAUGAAAGUUUUCCCCACUCAGAGUAACUUGUAGCCUCAGAGUGUCCAAGAAGAAGAAAAAGGGACCCUGGUUCUCCUGGCUCAAGAAUAUUCUUAUGAGUCUUUUUUUUUUUUUUUAAUGAAGGAAAAGCAUAAGCAAUUGUAAUCUCCUGCUUCAUUCUCAGACCUUUUGUUCUAUAUCACUUGUGCUUAAAGUGUAUCUCAUUUACUUGUAAAUUAUUGAUGUCUGAGGGAGUUUUUUUGGAGAGCAGAGAAUCAUUGAUAAUCUGAACUGUGUUCAGUUUUUGGCUCUGUUUUAAGAGUGAGAGUGGCGUGUAGUCAAAUUAAGUGAGCAUGUAGAUUUGUUGCAUUUAUUCUGAGAGGCAAUAUGGCCAAGUGUACAAGACCUAGGUCUGUUCCAAAUAAGGCAGAAACAAUAUUGUGAAAUGAUGGAGGUAAAGUAAACUGGUGUCCAGGUUCCCAACCUAGUGAAUACCACAGACUACUGGACAUCUUGAAUAACAAGGACAACCAAGCUGGCUGGUAAAGUCAGCUUGAAGAAGGUUUGGGACUUCUACGGUAACCUUUGACCAGAGAACCUGAGAAUUAAGGGCUCCUGUUCAUGUGCAGAGAGAUUGCUCUGACACGCUGUAAUUACAGUGCAUCAGAACAGACAUAAUUAUUGCAGUCCAGCAGAUUCCAGCAUCAUGUCUAUCAGUGUCUUCAGGCUGAAAAAUGGUGGUGAAAUGCUUCAAGCUAAAGCUUGUUUGAGCUUUAGUUCAAACCGCCCCACUGCCGUUUUUCAGUGAAGCGAUGCUGAUACAUAUUACGUGGGGAUCCUGAUACAUGUGUUGCUCUUAAUUACCAUGGCUCUCAGACCUUUGCUAAUUAAAGCGUGCACCCCCCGCCACCAGAGUACGUCUAUAAAUGCCCUAAGUGACCGGUCUUGAAUGUGACAAGGGAAAUCUUUCACAGGCUCAUUGCAGCAUGGAGACAGCAAAGCAUCCGAUUCCAGUACUAUUUCACUCUUGCACCAAAUUCCACAUCAUGAAGAAGCAAGAACUUUUAAAACCAAUACUGGAAAAACUACCUAUGUUUCCCUGACCACAUGCUUGGAAGUGGCUGAACUAUUACUGCUGAAAUGUUUCUUUUAAAAAAUACAACUUGCAGAGGGU